rnacentral:lncRNA from 1 species
CUGCUCCCCGGGCAUCGUCCGGACAGCAUAUGUCUUCGAUGAAAGGAAUGGAUAAACUAACAUACAUCGCAGAGCCAUUUGUGCACCCAUCGCUACUAGUAGGGUAAUCGACCUCGGGUUUUGGGUAUUCUUUUUCACGAUUGUUGUCUCCACCUGCAGUUCUGGAACGCGUGUGAAGCAUGAUGCCUUGGCGAUGGUUGCUUUCGACCAGAAAUAUUGAGUCAACUGCCACACACCGCAGAGCUAGACAGCAUCGUGUAGGAUUGGCGCGGUUAUUUUUGAUAAGUAUACUCAUUUGCUUAAAUUCGAGCAUCCUAUCAUUAUCAAGCAAUGUGAUAGGUCAGUAUCGCGUUAGGUCCAAUCAUGCAAGUGAAAGAGACCCUCGCACCUGCGGAAACUGGCAGGGACCUUACGAGCACCUUGAUAGGGCGAUCAAGGAAGGCAUGGAAUACCCAAGAUAUACAGUUAUGGCGUAUUCAAGCAUGGGUAAGCUAUAUUCGCGUGCAUCCAUAGCCAUUACUUGUCAACAGUCAGAAAAGCACAUUUGUAGGUUUUCAUAUCUUUUUGUGGCCUGUCUUCCAGGUCUCAGCGAUGCACAGUAAGGGCAAUGGACCCCUUGUCAUAACUGAGGUUUGAAAAGAUGGUACUAUCCGGUACACUCGAAUUCGUUUUGACAAGCCCGUCAUAAGUUGCUUGACAGAGGUUAUGGUGCAGGAGUUGCAUGAUUACAGCUUUCAUGUACUCAGUUCUUACAGGAAGAGCCUUUGUUCUACGAAAUCUCGACGAUUCAUUCAAGCUCCAAGAUGGGUGUGUUAAUCCCUCUUCUAUAUCAAGGACUUCUGUCUUGCUGGAAUUGUCAAAGACCAUGCCAAGGAAUUCUAACCUGCUUGUGCCGUUCCAUUUAGGUAUGAUAGGCCAAAUAUAGACUGGACGUUUCAAGUUGACGAAACUGGCCGAUCGGUACAUAGGUUGUCUGAUCUUGGUACUGGUGGAGAGGUGAGCCUAAUACUUUGAAAUUUUGAAAACCUUUAAUGUUGCAAAUCAGCGAAUUGUUGGCAUGGCUACUUGUAACGGCUGGCUGUGCCAAACAACUUCGCUGGCUUGGACCAAAUGCAGGAGCCUAAGAGUUCAGCUUUGCCAAUAUUUCGGAACGGCAACCUGCAUGACAUAGGUACGCGCCACCCAGUAUGUAGAGGAACAACAGAAUCACAGGGAUAUCGAUU